rnacentral:tRNA from 1 species
GGCCUCGUAGCUUAGUUGGUAGAGCGUGCUCUGUGCAAAAGCGUAGGCGGCGUCCAUGCGUGGGUUUGAAUCCCACCGAGGCUU